UACGUAGGGUCCGAGCGUUUGUCCGGAAUUAUUGGGCGUAAAGAGCUCGUAGGUGGUUUGUCGCGUUGUUCGUGAAAACCGGAGGCUCAACCUCUGGCGUGCGGGCGAUACGGGCAGACUUGAGUACUGCAGGGGAGACUGGAAUUCCUGGUGUAGCGGUGGAAUGCGCAGAUAUCAGGAGGAACACCGGUGGCGAAGGCGGGUCUCUGGGCAGUAACUGACGCUGAGGAGCGAAAGCGUGGGGAGCGAACAGG
rnacentral:rRNA from 1 species